CUACAGGUAGCGAUGUCAAAUGGGUGCCGCCAUCUUGGCUUCCUAUUGUUACUGUGUACAAAUAAUCGCUCAAACAUCGAUCAACAUCCGUCAAAUAAAUAAUUAAAAUAAUCUUUUUUCUGUCGAUAACAAAAGAAUAAUGAAUAGGUUUUACCUUUAUGUUGUUAUUUUUCAUGUAAAAUUAUAUUUUAGUGGUGUAUUUUACAUUUACAUCCGAGUAAUUUCCGGGGUAAAAAUUUUCGUUGGCGGCCAUUUUGAAUUUUUUUCAGACGUCGGAUGUCGUCACGAAAACGCGUUUUCUCGCGAGAUUGGGGGGUAUUAUGGGUAAUAUACGCUACGAUCAUGCACGUAACAUGGAAACCUACAUUGACAGUGUCUACAGACGAUCUUGGUCACCGAGAACGAUUUUAAAUCGCUAAAAAUCAUACAGAUUUACGAAAAAUCUUGUCAAAAAAAUUACAAUUUACCUUAGGCCACUAAGAUGUACAUUGGACGGUUUGUGUAUUAAGGGGGCCUACAGACUUUAAUAAGGUAAGGAUAUGCAAAUAUGCUAAUUACAUUUUAAUUAUGAACAAAUGUAAUCAGAAAUGUGAUAU